AACUGAAACAUCUUAGUACCCGGAGGAAGAGAAAGAAAUUUCGAUUCCCUUAGUAGCGGCGAGCGAAACGGGAAGAGCCCAAACCAACAAGCUUGCUUGUUGGGGUUGUAGGACACUCUAUACGGAGUUACAAAGGACGACAUUAGACGAAUCAUCUGGAAAGAUGAAUCAAAGAAGGUAAUAAUCCUGUAGUCGAAAAUGUUGUCUCUCUUGAGUGGAUCCUGAGUACGACGGAGCACGUGAAAUUCCGUCGGAAUCUGGGAGGACCAUCUCCUAAGGCUAAAUACUCUCUAGUGACCGAUAGUGAACCAGUACCGUGAGGGAAAGGUGAAAAGCACCCCGGAAGGGGAGUGAAAUAGAACCUGAAACCGUGUGCUUACAAGUAGUCAGAGCCCGUUAAUGGGUGAUGGCGUGCCUUUUGUAGAAUGAACCGGCGAGUUACGAUUUGAUGCAAGGUUAAGCAGUAAAUGUGGAGCCGUAGCGAAAGCGAGUCUGAAUAGGGCGUUUAGUAUUUGGUCGUAGACCCGAAACCAGGUGAUCUACCCUUGGUCAGGUUGAAGUUCAGGUAACACUGAAUGGAGGACCGAACCGACUUACGUUGAAAAGUGAGCGGAUGAACUGAGGGUAGCGGAGAAAUUCCAAUCGAACCUGGAGAUAGCUGGUUCUCUCCGAAAUAGCUUUAGGGCUAGCCUCAAGUGAUGAUUAUUGGAGGUAGAGCACUGUUUGGACGAGGGGCCCCUCUCGGGUUACCGAAUUCAGACAAACUCCGAAUGCCAAUUAAUUUAACUUGGGAGUCAGAACAUGGGUGAUAAGGUCCGUGUUCGAAAGGGAAACAGCCCAGACCACCAGCUAAGGUCCCAAAAUAUAUGUUAAGUGGAAAAGGAUGUGGCGUUGCCCAGACAACUAGGAUGUUGGCUUAGAAGCAGCCAUCAUUUAAAGAGUGCGUAAUAGCUCACUAGUCGAGUGACACUGCGCCGAAAAUGUACCGGGGCUAAACAUAUUACCGAAGCUGUGGAUUGUCCUUUGGACAAUGGUAGGAGAGCGUUCUAAGG
rnacentral:rRNA from 1 species